rnacentral:rRNA from 1 species
UGUAAGCGUAUACCAAAGUUGUUGCAGUUAAAACGCUCGUAGUCGGAAUUUGGCAGUUCCGGAUGUGUGCACGUCGUGUGCGCACUUCGCGGGGAUUGCUUUUGUGGUCUUGCGUAGGAUGAGGCACUUUUAUUAGUGAACGUCCUCACGCAACCACUUUUUACUGUGAGAAAAUCAGAGUGCUCAAAGCAGGCAUUUGCCGUGAAUGUAUUAGCAUGGAAUAAUAGAAUAGGACUCGGUUCUAUUUUGUUGGUUUGUUGGGACUGAGUAAUGAUUAAGAGGGACAGUUGGGGGCAUUUGUAUUCCGGCGCUAGAGGUGAAAUUCUUAGAUUGCCGGAAGACAAACUGCUGCGAAAGCGUCUGCCAAGGAUGUUUUCAUUGA